CCUACGGGUGGCAGCAGUGAGGAAUAUUGGUCAAUGGGCGCGAGCCUGAACCAGCAAAGUAGCGUGAAGGAUGACUGCCCUACGGGUUGUAAACUUCUUUUAUAAAGGAAUAAAGUGAGGCACGUGUGCCUUUUUGUAUGUACUUUAUGAAUAAGGAUCGGCUAACUCAGUGCCAGCAGCCGCGGUAAUACGGAGGAUCCGAGCGUUAUCCGGAUUUAUUGGGUUUAAAGGGAGCGUAGAUGGGUUGUUAAGUUAGUUGUGAAAGUUAGCGGCUCAAACGUAAAAUUGCAAUUGAUACUGGCAGCCUUGAGUACAGUUGAGGUAGGCGGAAUUCGUGGUGUAGCGGUGAAAUGCGUAGAUAUCACGAAGAACUCCGAUUGCGAAGGCAGCUUACUAAACUGCCACUGACAUUGAUGCACGAAAGUGUGGGUAUCAAACAGGAUUAGAUACCCUGGUAGUC
rnacentral:rRNA from 1 species